rnacentral:rRNA from 1 species
GAUGAACGCUGGCGGCGUGCCUAAUACAUGCAAGUCGAGCGAACAGAUGAGGAGCUUGCGCCUCUGACGUGAGCGGCGGACGGGUGAGUCACACGUGUAUAACCUACCUAUAAUUCGGGUAUAACUUCGGGAAACGGGCUCAAAUACCGUAUAAUAUAUUGAACCGCGGUGUGCAAUGGUGAAAUUCGGCUGUUGUGUCUCGUAUAGAUGCAUCCGCGCCGCAUUGGCUAGUUGGUGCGUUAACGGCUUACGAAGGCAACGAUGCGUAGCCGACGGGAGAGAGCGGUAGGCCACACUGGAGGUGAGACACGGACAAGACUACUACGGGAGGGAGCAGUAGGGAAUCGGCCGCAAUGGGCGGAAGCCUGACGGAGCAACGCGGAGCGAGUGAUGACAGUCUCCGGAUCGGAAAAACCUGUUAUUAGGGAAGAACAAAUGUGUCAGUAAACAUGCCCGUCUUGACGGUAACGAGUAAGAAAGCACCGGCUAACUACGUG